AGCGAACGCUGGCUGCAGGCCCAACACAUUCAAGUCGCUCGCCGUAGCAAUACGGAGCGGCAGACGGUUGAGUAACGCUUGGGCACGUGCCCUUUAGUUCGGAUUAACCCAGGGAAACUUGGGCUAAUACCGGAUACGCCCUCCGUGGGUAAGAUUUAUCGCUAAAGGAUCGGCCAGCGUAAGAUUAGCUAGUUGGUGAGGUAACGGCUCACCAAGGCUAUGAUCUUUAGCUAUACUGAAGGGAAAAUCAGCCACACUGGGACUGAGACACGGGCAAGACUCGUAAGGGAGGCAGCAGUGGGGGAUAUUGGACAAUGGGCGCAAGCCCGAUCCAGCCAUGCCGGGUGAGUGAUGAAGGCCUUAGGGUUGUAGAGCUCUUUUACCAGGGAAGAUAAUGACGGUACCUGGAGAAUAAGCCCCGGCUAACUUCGUGCCAGCAGCCGCCGGAA
rnacentral:rRNA from 1 species